UGGGGAAUAUUGGACAAUGGGCGCAAGCCUGAUCCAGCCAUGCCGCGUGAGUGAUGAAGGCCCUAGGGUUGUAAAGCUCUUUUGUGCGGGAAGAUAAUGACUGUACCGCAAGAAUAAGCCCCGGCUAACUUCGUGCCAGCAGCCGCGGUAAUACGAAGGGGGCUAGCGUUGCUCGGAAUCACUGGGCGUAAAGGGUGCGUAGGCGGGUCUUUAAGUCAGGGGUGAAAUCCUGGAGCUCAACUCCAGAACUGCCUUUGAUACUGAGGAUCUUGAGUUCGGGAGAGGUGAGUCGAGCUGCGAGUGUCGAGGUGAAAUUCGUAGAUAUUCGCAAGAACACCAGUGGCGAAGGCGGCCCACUGGCCCGAUACUGACGCUGAGGCACGAAAGCGUGGGGAGCAAACA
rnacentral:rRNA from 1 species